AAGUGCUCUCUGCUGACUGUGAUACACAUCCAGGAAAAACCCAGACCAAAGCCAUGAAGUCACCCCAAGUUCAAACCCAAAAUGCAAUUUGCAGUGGUUAGAAAUGACAAAGGAUGGGUGGUAGGAUCCAGAGAAAAAACAGUGAAACCCGAUGGACCUUAAAUAGAUCUGAGGGCACUGAUUUGAUUAUUUUGGGUGAAAUCUUUUAAGAAAAUCUUGUCAGAUUCUUCACAGAAAAUUUGGUAAAGCCUAUAUUUCAUCGCCAGCCUAGCAAAGGCAAGCUGGCAAACAGGGAAACAAGGAGAACUGUGUGCUCAGCCCUCCAGAGUGGCACGGAUUAUGAGGAGGUGAUGGUCCUUCCCCGCCAAGAUCCUGAGACACUGUCACUCCGGAAUCCAAAAAGAGAUUCAGAUACCAUGAAAGGAUUUGAGCGUUUUUUUAUGUGAAUCCAAAGAUGACAUUUACAAAAGGUGGAGAAGCAGUUCCCUACUGAGGGACGUGGAUACAAAAAGCAGAUGACACAACACAUCCCAUAGAGUUCCCAGGGAAGAAUGAACCCAGAUUCUUGACCUGCAGAGGUGGCGUACUGGCUGGAGAAAUCUCUGGCUGGCGACCGUGCUAUUCUGUCUGUCCACCUAACUGUGGGCUCCCAGAUCACCACUGCCAUGGGCAGGGGGCCGUGGGGUGGGCCUGCUUGGGGUGACAGGCUAGCUGUGCUCCCAUAGCAGAGGUGGGAGAAGGGAAUCACAUCUGGUGAGCAGCUAUGUCGUGCCAGGCACUGUGCUGUGUAUUGCACACAUCUCAAACCUUGUGACAAAUGUGUAAGAUAUUUUUUAUGUAUUACAAAUGAAGGAACUGGGCUCAGAAAAGCUCCAUUAUUUGCCCAAAUUGCAGCAGUAAUGCAGGAAUUUGAAUCCACAUUAAUCUGACUCCACAACCCAUGUUCUUUCACUGAAUUCCCAUAUCCUUGUUCCCCCUACUGUCCUCACUGGUCAAGGUGAGCUUGGUCUUCCACAAACAGGCUAGAAAAGUAUGCUUACUUAUCUUUAGCUUUAUGCUUUUAAACUAAUUCUUAAAAAUCUUCUCUGGAUAAGUCAAAGACAAUGGGAAUGUGUAUUUCUAAUACAUUAAUUAUAAUACAUUACCGGUUUACACAAUGCCAUCACCUUGUCAUUUUCUUUGACACAACGUCCCCCUCCCCUCUAGUUUAUAAAUGAGGACAUUGAGGCACAAAGUGGGUAAGUGACUUGCCCAAGGGGGAGAUUUGUCCAAUCAUAAAGAUGGGCCUGAACUUUUUCUACUUUGCAUUCUUACUUGAAAGGCAGGAAACAUAUGCUCAAGAGGGAGAUCUCACGAAAUUUCAUGUCAUAUAGUGCUCUCGCUAAUUUAAUCCUGUCAUUCCUGGUUAUAUCCCUUUGGAAAAACCACCACCAGUGCCUUCUCUUUUGAUAUAUUUACAGUAAAAAUAUUCCCUGUACAAACCAUCUCACUCUUUCACAGGGAACUGGCUUGGCCCUCUCCCCUGAAGUGGGUUGCACAUCCACCCAGCCCACCCCCAGCUCACUCUAGCUCCCUUCCUGUUAGAAUUUAUUCAGAACCUCCAUUUCUAGGAGGAAGCAAGGAGGGGGCAGUUAUCUUCGUGGACUUGGGUCCUCCUGGACCCUUUGUCCUCAUGGUUAUGUUUCAAACAGAGUUGAGGGCUCCCUAAAGGGGAAAGAUUAUUUAAGUUUUGUAAAUGCUGCCCUCCAAAAACCACUCCACAUAAAUGUUUCAUGGCUUAGCCUCUGUGAGGCCAGAGCUGGAACAUUCAGCUGUGAGGGUGUUUAUAUUUGUGGAACUCUCUUGAACAUUUGCUGUGGGUUUUAAACAGCUGCUAUGCUGAAGCUCUGGGGAUAGGAAGAUCAUGAAUAUUCAGGUGAAGCCACCAGAAUGAACAGCCGUUAAUAGAAUAAAUGCCUAAACAGUUGUGUAAGGCUUAUUAAGACCUAUUGGGGCUGAGAUAAUAAAUUCCCACUCUGACAUGUUGCAACUACUGUCGCUUAAACACUUUGGACCACCUCUUCUGAACUGAAGGAAAAAAUGAUGUUAGUUCUCUGCGCGAAUACAAAGAAACACCUGGAAGCCUUGGCAAGGGGAUGAGAUUUGGCAGAGAUCUUUCCGUGUACCGAUGCAUCCUCAGGAAAAUGAUGUGCCGCUCAUUGUUCCUGUUGUCAAGGUUAUCGCAGUCGACUUCAGGCUGGAACGGGCAUUGCUCUUGCACUGAAGAAAGUCUGUCCUGACUCCCUCAGAGUGCCUCAACAUCAACCAAGAGCCACCGUGAACCUCUGGGGCACUGAGCCUGGCCACCAGCACCCCCACCCCAGCCCAUAUGGCCUGGGCCUCUCCCUUGGUAAGCCUCUUCCAACAGGGUAUCAGAGGAACCAAAUACACACUUACACUGGACGCUUGCUUUUCAUUCGCUUGCUCCAUAAUCCAUAGCAGGGAACACAAUGCAAAGAUUGCAAAUGUAAAAAUGACCUUUCCAAGUGGUAACACCUGGUGUGUUAAAAAGUCCAUUGCAGACUGGGUUUGCAGUGUGCACACUGUAAAUAUGGGGAAUGUGGGAAACAGUAGAGAGGGACUGUUUUCUCCUUUGGGUGUUAGCUGUCACCUUGUGUUAGACUGAGCCAGACUCCUCGGUUCUGGCUCCCACAGUCACAAGGCAUUAACCAAGGGUAUACAGAGGAACUCACCCAGGUUCACACCUAGAGAAGACUCAGUAAUAUUUGAUCAGCAACCUGCUGUCAAUUUAGAUAAAUGGCAUUUGACUUCAAAUAAAGGUGACUAACUCAAUGAAGGAAGCCUGUGCAUAGAAGGCAAUGUUUGCUUCUCCCAAGCUGUCAGGGAGAGCUUGCCCACCCUAGCAGUGGUCACUGAUUUUCUCCACCUCUGAAGACAUGGUGGGGUCCUGCCAAAGACUCUGAGCUGUCAGAAUUCUGGAAGAGACAAACUCACAACAAAGAAAUGCACAUGUCUCAAUGUGGCUUGGGAGGAGUAGCAGAUUUUAGAGUGAUGCUGACCUGAAUUUGAAUUGUGCUCUGCCACUCAAGGUCUGAGUGUCUGAAAGCAAGUUAUUCCACUUCUGUGAGGUAUAGCUGUCUUGCCUGUAACACAGGCAUUAUUCU
rnacentral:lncRNA from 10 species